rnacentral:rRNA from 1 species
CCUACGGGGGACAGCAGUCGAGAAUCAUUCACAAUGGGGGAAACCCUGAUGGGGCGACGCCGCGUGGGGGAAUGAAGGUCUGCGGAUUGUAAACCCCUGUCAUGUGGGAGCAAAUUAAAAAGAUAGUACCACAAGAGGAAGAGACGGCUAACUCUGUGCCAGCAGCCGCGGUAAUACAGAGGUCUCAAGCGUUGUUCGGAAUCACUGGGCGUAAAGCGUGCGUAGGCGGUUUCGUAAGUCGUGUGUGAAAGGCGCGGGCUCAACCCGCGGACGGCACAUGUUACUGCGAGACUAGAGUAAUGUAGGGGGAACCCGAUUUCUCGGUGUAGCCGU